AAAGUUUAUUAAUUCAGAGCUAACCCUGGGCCUGCCUUCUUAUCCUUCAUAGGCAUUGGCCAUUACUGGUCAGUAGACCACCUUUUCCUUCUCUUAAAAGGAACAUUAGGAAGACCCAGUAGUUAUUGUUUUAGACAUCUGUUGAACUGGGAAGACUCGGGUGACCAGGAGGCAAGUAUCUCUUUGUCUCUAAGGUGUGAUGGGGCUGAUGGCUGGAGCCACUGGCCUGUGGAGAUUCUGGGGAGAGCUUUUGCGAAGACGUUUUGCUCUUUUUUUCUCAUUUUUUUUUUGAGAGGAGUUUUCAUGAAGAGGAAAUUGACCUCGACUUCUAUACUGUAGCUGAAGAUGACUUUAAAAUCUUGACCUUCCUGCCCCCAUCUCCUCAGUGUUGGGACCACAGGCAUGCGCCACCACACCCAACAAUUUAGCAUUUUUGACCACUCUUAUUGUCACUUUCUUCAGUAGACAUACAUAGAAGCUUAUUUUUAAAAUUAAGAAUUGCUGAGCUGGGAAUGUAACUCAGUUGGUAGAGCACUUGACUGCUACACACAAAACCUUGGGUGUGAUGCCCCAGCACCAUAUCAACCAAGGGCAGGGUCGCACAUCUGUUACCCAGCUCUUGAAUGACAGAAGCAAGAGGAUCAUGAGUUCAAGGGCAUUCUUAACUCUAUAGGGAGUUCAACGCAGAUAUGGGCUACCUAAUACCCUGUCUCCAAUAAUAUAUUUAUGAUGCACAGCCUUGUGCUUUAAGCAUCAAUGUGUUGUGGAGUGGAUUAAUGGAGGGGGGGCAGGUUUUUAACAUGCUCUGCACAUACCAAGUUUUUGGUGAUGAAAACUCUUAAAUCUGCCAUGUACAUGGUCCAUUGUAAACAGAUAAUGUCAGAGAGUAGGGCUUGUGAACGUCUUCUGCCUGUUUCACUGAAUUUCACAUCUUUAACAGAUGGUAGACUUGCAUCUGGGGUACAGCUGUAUCACGUUCUAUAAGCAGAUGCUGUGUCCUUCAGGGUUCUGGCCAUCUAUACACAGUGACCUGAAGAGCCUUUGCUGGGGAAAGCUUUAGUAAAACAUGCAGGAUGAAUUGUGGCUUUGAGCUUCUGCCCCAUUGCUGACACUUGCCUCAGACUAGAGCACUCUGGGAGUACUGGGAGCCGGGGACCCAGUGUAUGGAGUUUGAUAGGUUCUCUUGAUUUCUGCCCUCUUAUAUGCCUUUAGAUGAUGUCACAUGUGUCUGCUCAGAGAUCCUGGUUAGUGGCACAGGGCUGGUUGAGUUGGAUGGCAGCCUUCUAACCAACGUAUAAUGCCAGGAGAUGUCAUGGGGCCACAGUAACGGGCCUGGCUGAUAAGUCUCUCUCCAUAUCUCCUGUCGUUGUGAGUGUGCAUAGACACCACCUUGCUAGUCUUUGCUUCAAGGGAAGACUUAGGUCAAUUUUAUCAUAUCUCCACUAGAUGACAACCUCAUCUGCAUGUGUGACAUUUAUCAAGAACCAUAACAGCCUGAGCCCUAAUGAAAGAGGCUGGGAUUUCUGCUUCAGAGGAAGCUAACCUUGGAAGGCUAAAGAAGAGAUGCUGAAAACAUCCCACACAGUGUUGCUUCAUAGAACCAACUCUCUGCCCUCUGUCUCUCUCGUUCUCUUGAUGUUUUGGUUAUGAGCCUUUAGUGGCUAAGCUGGCUCUCUAUCCUUAUUUCUCUUUCUCGUUAAAAGUGGGAGAUAAUAGAGAUGACCCUACCUAAGCACCCUCUGGCAAGCAAAAAGAAAUCAUUGUUCAGUGUUUUGAAAGAGGCUGGAAUGAGAACAUGAUUCAGUCGGCUCAAGCCCCACUUGGCUGCAGGUUCUCAGGAAGACUGUCUUGAUGAAGUCUGGUCAAUGUCCUGGGAAUAUCUCCUUCAAAGAUCUGCCCUGGGCCCUCUGUGGCCCCUGACUCUAUCAGGGGCCCUUUUCUGGCAUUUUCAGUACAAUCUGUGCUUAGCUGGCUGUCCACAGUCUAGGUAGGAGUUCACUGCAGGAGAAGGAACCCAGAGCAUCACUUUUGGACCUGUUUGCUUGGCCAUUUCAGGUUGGCAGAAUAUCCACACACUGGCACACCUUCUCACAGUGACUUUAUAGAGUUUUGUUCUUUUGAGGCAAGGUCUCACCACUGUCUUAGUCGGGGUUUCUAUUCCUGCACAAACAUCAUGACCAAGAUGCAAGUUGGGGAGGAAAGGGUGUAUUCGGCUUACACUUCCAUACUGUUGUUCAUCACCAAGGAAGUCAGGACUGGAACUCAAGCAGGUCAGAAAGCAGGAGCUGAUGCAGAGGCCAUGGAGGGAUGUUCUUUACUGGCUUGCUUCCCCUGGCUUGCUCAGCCUGCUCUCUUAUAGAACCAAGAUUACCAGCCCAGAGAUGGCACCACCCACAAGGGGCCUUUCCCCCUUGAUCACUAAUUGAGAAAAUGCCUUACAGUUGGAUCUCAUGGAGGCAUUUCCUCAACUGAAGCUCCUUUCUCUGUGAUAACUCCAGCCUGUGUCAAAUUGACACAAAACUAGCCAGUACAACCACGUAACUCUGGCUGUCAUGGAACUCGCUUAUGUAGACCAGGCAGAUCUUGAACUCAACAGAGAUCCACCUGUCUCUGCUGUUCAAGAGCUGAGAUUAAAGUUAUACACCACCAUGCCUGGCAUUAUUGUGACUCUCUAGCCAUAAGCCCAGCUGGGUCCUUACCUCAUCUCUGCUUAGCAAUGAGAAAAGAAAAUGAGAGACAGUGGUGGACAACUGAGGGGCUUGCAGGGCAAAGAGGACAGGCAGUAGUGCACCAGGGCAUGGAUUAGGGUUAGGGCUGUUUACUCUUAAGGAAGCUGUAGAACAAUACAUGGCCAUUCCAAGUGAGAGCUUUGAUCCCCGAGGGAGUUCCACUGAUUAGGAUUCCAUCUGGCAGGCAAGAGGACAUCAAGUGGUAUAGGAGUAAGGAGUUGGGAAGUUUUCUUUUUCUCAUGGAACACAAAGUCUCAGUAGCAAGGCUGGGACUACGAUGAUGUCACCCCAAUGCCAUCAGGUGUCCAGGCUUCCUUCUGUUUUUCAGUUUAGUGUCCACCCUCAAGCUGGUCACUGUGUGUUCCCAAAAAAACGGCUGCUCGCCAUAGGAUCUCCUAGUAGUUUCGGGCAGGAAGGGAGCCGAGACCGUUUCCUUUCAAGACCUUUCUGGAAUUUGUUUAAACUUUAUUGGUCUGAAUCCAGGGCCACCCAUCCACAAGAGAGGCCAAGUGUGUUCCUGACACAAACAUGGGUUCUGUUAGAAGGAAGAUCAGAUAUCUGGUAGGCAGCCAAUGAUGGCCACAGUAUGACAAAGGAACAACGGGAAGGAUGUGUUCGUUUUUCUGUUGCGUUCUCAUUCAUUCAUCCAACUGUUCAUCCUGAAAUGCAAGGAGACAAAUGGAUACGCCCUCUUUCACUUUUCCUAGAACACCUAUUGGGUUGUCAGUCGUACCCUGCCAUGUCCAUUCACGUCAUUACGAUGGAUGUCAUGGUAGCUACAGCGUGCUGCAUGCGAGUUAGGGAUCACACUCUAGGGUGAGCAUGUGUAAGAAGAGAUUGUACCAGAACUUGCUCAAACCCACAUUUAGAAAAAGAUGGCAGCAUAUCUUCCUUCUUGGUCUAGGAGGGAAGAGGAAAAAAAAAAUGAGACAAGGAUAGACGAGCCGCUGUGACUAAGCGUGAUCGGCGAUUACUGAUGACGUAGGCAUCAUUUGGUUCUGCCUCCAUAGCAAUGCUCUGAGUUAGAAUACUGUUUGUUGUUGCUGAUGCUCUCCUACAGAGGAGGAAGUUCAGAGAGGGUGGGCAGCAUAGCUAUGACACCCAGCAUGAGACAGAGCUGGGAUUCCAAUCUCAAGCUUGUCACCUCCAGCUUCCUCCUUACUGCUCUUCACCAGCUCUGACUCACUCCUGCAUACCAGCCUUCUCUGCCUGCCAGAGAAGUCAAGUUCAAUUCAGGCCUCGGUGAGAUUAGCCAUGAGUAUGCCAGACUCUAUCAGAAAUGCCUAUGUCUGAUCUAGACUAUGAACGUUCAGUGCACAGGCAAAGCUCGGCUCCGUUUGAAUGCUCUCAGCCAGCCUUGCCUUGAUACCCAAUUCUGAUGUCAAACUUUCAGACACUGUAGAGCUGACUGCAGUUCCCCUGCCCCCCAGAUGUAGACCCUCCUGUACUCCUCUUCCUCCUCUUCCUUGCAAGUGCAGGCUGUUAAUCCAGAAUUUAACUGUCCCUUUGAGCCAUUUCUCUGACAACUUAGCCCCUGGAGUUAGCGAGAUACAUGAACACUUCUUGAAUAUGGAGUCUUGGGAGUGUCUUGGCCAUCAGAGCUAGGGCCCAUAACCCCCAUCCAACUUUAAGCUGGAAGAAGUAAUGGGGUCAGGUCCCCACAAGCAAAGAUGUAUAUUAUAGUCAUGUCAGUAACUGAGGUUCAGGUACUGCAACAAAUGCCAGAGCUUAGUCCACAGGGAAGAACAAGGAUGGCUCCCUUCUCACGGACAAAACCCCGUUUACACAGUACCGAUGUCUAUUUGGGCUCAUUAGUAUUCUCAAAGAAAACAGUCUGGUCUUCUGGGGAGCCUGUCUUCACAACUGGCCACAGGCAUCAUUCUGUGUCAGGAUGGAGAAGGGUAAAGCAUCCAAGCUCAGGAGGGGUGGUUCCUCCUUCCGCACCUCCUGGGAAUCGACAUCACAAAGCUGAGAGACUCCAGGCUUGGCUCCCAAGAUGCUAUUUUGAGCAUCUCUCUGCAGCAGGCUGCAGUAUGGCUUUUGAUUAUUCACGCAUUCACCCGUGUGGAGUGGAGUUGAAUGUGCCAUGCCCGUGCCCUCUUCCAACACAGCCUCACUCCCAGCCAGGCUGUUCCAGGCCAGUGAUGUAAACGUACCAGCUGCUUCAGGAGAGCCAGUCCGAAUCCUGCAGGAGGGGCCCAUCCCUCUCCCAGGCAUUCAUCAGCCUGCUGCCUUCAGCCUAAGCCCUCUUGCCAACCAUGGUGGGUCUCUCCGGUCUCCCAUCGCUUUAUCAGAGAUGCCCAGAGCUAAUCCUCUUACAGGCUCAUGAUUUAUAGUAUGCCUUAAUCUACAGGCUCCAAGUCGGGUGCAUUAUUAUCUUCUGAUUGUGGGGAAAUGAAUAGAUUUGCUUAAACAGGCUACACUGGGCUGGCAGGAGGUGGUCAGGAGGAAGGCGGCAGACUGCUCGGAAAAUGAAGGCGCUGCUGCUUCUGGUCCUGCCCUGGCUGAGUCCAGCUAACUACAUUGACAAUGUGGGCAACCUGCACUUCCUGUACUCGGAACUCUGCAAAGGGGCCUCCCACUAUGGCCUGACCAAGGACAGGAAAAGGCGCUCUCAAGAUGGCUGUCCUGAUGGUUGCGCCAGCCUCAUGGCAACGACGCUCUCCCCAGAGGUUUCUGCAGCCGCCACCAUCUCUUUAAUGACAGAUGAGCCUGGCCUAGACAACCCUGCCUACGUGUCCUCGGUGGAGGAUGGUGAGCCAGUAGCCAACUCCUCAGACUCUGGCCGGAGCAACCGGACUAGGGCACGGCCCUUUGAGCGCUCCACUAUGAGAAGCCGGUCUUUCAAGAAGAUCAACCGAGCUCUAAGUGCUCUCCGGAGGACGAAGAGCGGGAGUGUCGUUGCCAACCAUGUUGACCAGGGCAGGGACAACUCUGAGAACACCACUGUCCCCGAAGUCUUCCCAAGGUUGUUUCACCUGAUUCCAGAUGGUGAAAUUACAAGCAUCAAAAUCAACAGAGCGGAUCCCAGCGAAAGCCUCUCCAUAAGGCUGGUGGGGGGCAGCGAGACGCCGCUGGUCCACAUCAUCAUCCAGCAUAUUUAUCGCGAUGGAGUGAUUGCCAGAGAUGGACGGCUGCUGCCAGGAGACAUCAUUCUCAAGGUCAACGGCAUGGACAUCAGCAAUGUCCCUCAUAACUAUGCCGUGCGGCUCCUGCGGCAGCCCUGCCAGGUGCUGCGGCUAACGGUGCUGCGGGAGCAGAAGUUCCGUAGCAGAAGCAAUGCGCACGUGCCGGACUCCUAUGGACCUCGGGAUGACAGCUUCCAUGUAAUCCUCAACAAAAGCAGCCCCGAGGAGCAGCUUGGCAUAAAGCUGGUGCGCCGGGUGGAUGAGCCCGGCGUGUUCAUCUUCAACGUGCUAAAUGGGGGUGUCGCCGACCGACACGGCCAGCUGGAGGAGAAUGACCGUGUGCUGGCCAUCAACGGGCAUGACCUUCGAUUUGGCAGUCCAGAGAGUGCAGCUCAUCUGAUUCAGGCCAGUGAAAGACGCGUCCAUCUCGUCGUGUCCCGCCAGGUUCGACAGUCCAGCCCAGACAUCUUUCAAGAAGCUGGCUGGAUCAGCAAUGGCCAGCAAUCCCCAGGCCCAGGAGAGAGGAACACAGCUUCUAAGGCAGAAGACCAUCAGAGACAAAGGACAAGUGCAGUCCUGGUGCUCAGCUACUUGGUUCAGCUGUUUGGAAUGCACCAAAAAUAGGGAAGAUGUAUAAGAUAGGCCAAAUUUUUGCAUCUGUGUAUGGUUUGCAUGCACGUGCAUAUGUGUAUUUACAGACACGUGAAUGCAUGCGCAUGUGUGAGCGUGUGCAUGUAGAAGGCAGAGCAUGACAUCAGGUAUUUUUCUUGGUUGCUCUCUAUCCUAUUUACUGAGAUUGCUUCACGCCAAAGCUGAGCUUGCCUAAUUGCCGAGUCUUAACUAGCCAUCUCUCUCCGUUGGAUCUCUGAACUCUGGAUUACACAUGAGCCACCAUUUUAUAUGGUUAGCUUUUCUAUGAGUGCUACAAGAUCUGAACAGUGGUCCUCAGACCUGUGCAGGAAGCACUACAGCCAACAAGCCAUCACCCGAGGUCCAUGAUGUAAGAAAAAUUUUAAACCUAGACAAGCUUUUGCCAGGCUGGCAAAAUUGCUCAGUGGGUAAAGGCGCUUGCUGUCAAGCCUACCAGAAUGGGUUUGAUCCCUGGGACUCACAGGGUGGAGUCAGAGAGCCAGCUUCUGUAAGUUGUCCUCUGACCUCCAUAUGUAUGUUCUAGCAUGUGCCCCUCAAACUUCCACACAUUCCAUUAAUCAAUAUGAUUUUAAAUAUGAAAGACAUACUGAUAUUCAUGUACAGUGAGUGUUCUGAGAAGUUGGCCUACUGUUGUCAGAAAUGGCUGACUUCCUUGAGAGAUUUGAGAUCCAGUCCAAAUUUAUAAGAUCCAGAUUUCUACCAUGGUCCCCAGGCUGUUGCCUCUGUACGGUUAGUAUUCCGUUCUGCAAUGUAAACUUCUCGGAGUCAAGCCUUGGAAUUUGCGAUGCUGUAUUUGUGAUGCUGGAAUUUGAGGUGCUGUAACUCUCUUGAUGCGAAUGGGAAAACGUGCGCACUCUCAGAGAGGCCGUGUGAGUGUAUGUGCCAUGUUCUUUGUGUCUGUGCCUUCAGCCUGCAGCCACCUGUCAUGAGAAGGUUGUAAGUGUCUGGAAAGACCCCAGCGAGUCUCUCGGCAUGACCGUCGGAGGGGGAGCAUCCCACAGGGAAUGGGACUUGCCCAUCUAUGUCAUCAGUGUUGAACCCGGCGGAGUCAUAAGCAGAGACGGGAGAAUAAAAACAGGUGACAUUUUAUUGAAUGUGAAUGGGAUUGAGCUCACAGAGGUCAGCCGGACAGAGGCCGUUGCCAUACUGAAGAGCGCACCCUCCUCAGUGGUACUCAAAGCCUUGGAAGUCAAGGAACAGGAGGCCCAGGAAGACUGCAGCCCAGCAGCCCUGGACUCCAACCACAACGUGACCCCGCCUGGUGACUGGUCCCCAUCCUGGGUCAUGUGGCUGGAAUUACCACAGUACUUAUGUAACUGUAAAGAUGUGAUACUGCGAAGGAACACAGCUGGAAGCCUGGGCUUCUGCAUUGUGGGAGGUUAUGAAGAAUACAGUGGGAACAAACCUUUUUUUAUCAAGUCCAUUGUUGAAGGAACACCUGCAUACAAUGACGGAAGAAUCAGAUGUGGUGACAUUCUUCUCGCUGUCAACGGUAGAAGUACAUCGGGUAUGAUACACGCUUGCCUGGCCAGGAUGCUCAAGGAACUUAAAGGGAGAAUUACUCUGACCAUUGCUUCUUGGCCUGGUACUUUUUUAUAAAAUCAAUGAUGGAUCUUAGAAAAACCACAGAUAGGCUAGGUAAAAUUGUAUUUAUCUUGUCAAUUUUUAUAUUUAAAGAAUAUAUUGUAAAAAAUGCCAGAAAAGUAUGAUAUUAUGAAAAGUUACACCUCAGAGACUGUUCUCAAAAAUAAAAACUAGUGAUAAUUUUUA